CUUGAAUCUAAUCAUUACGUUGAAAAGAGGUGUUGAGCCUACGAAAUGAAGAAGGUCCUUAGCACUCACCAGGAACAGUGGUUGCCUCUAGGAAUGAAAUGGGAUGACGGAAGACCUGGGGAGCCGUGGCAGGAGGAGACACUCAUGAUGCGCCUUUUGGCCAUAGUCACUGUCAUGGCUAAGAAAGCAACUCCAACCCACACACUGCAAAUAUGAAGGACCACGAAAGGCACGCAGGCUCUGGUUUGCAUAGUGAAGAUGAGCGUCUGUGUUCCUAAGCAUGAAGGAGGACCACAUGAGUAUCCUGGACACCUACUGCAUGAAUGUAUUCGCCCUUUCAGAUCUAGGGACCUGCAUCUCCUGGACAGUCAGCCGAGUGUUUCCAUGAUACCAGCCAUACCUGAUGCCAGGAGACUCGCUACACUUGGAAGCUCUUCAAGGCAUGCUUAUCUUUGUGAACUGAAUCUUGGAGAAGCAGGAUUGAAAAUAAGAGCUAUCUUUGAGGCUCUAGCACCUACAAGAGACACCCUCCCUCUCCACCAUGGAUCACCUGUCUCACCCGUGUGAGUCUCCACACAGAAACCAGUCAUGGCCCUGCCUUUGCCCCCCUUGAAAUCACCCAAGAGGAUGCUUCAAACUCAGGCAAGCACAACUGAUACUCACUCUGC
rnacentral:lncRNA from 1 species